ACUCUAAAUGAUGAAUGUUUGGUAUCAUGAUCAAAAUGUUGACAAAUAGUUAAAAAUUUUAGUAUCAUGUAUGAUAUCCUUAUAAUGUUGAUCGAUUUAUUCAAUAUCAUGCAUGAAUGAAUAUAAGGUUUUUGAAAAUGUGCAUAUUCUAAUUUGAAAAUAUGAUGAUGCACAAAUAAGAUUGAUACUUACCUUUGUCAUAAUUGAUGUAAAGGGUCUUCCCGUCUUUUUGACAAUGACAAAGGGGGAGAUAGCUAGCUUGCACAAGUCAAGAAGAUGCAAAAACUUGAUUGCUAGCUUGCCUAUCUUAAGUAACAAAGAUUGCUAACUUGCUUAUUUCAAGAAGCAAAAGUUGUCUUCUUGAACAUCAUUAUCUUGCCCAUCUCAA
rnacentral:lncRNA from 1 species